rnacentral:rRNA from 1 species
UACGUAGGGUGCGAGCGUUGUCCGGAAUUAUUGGGCGUAAAGGGCUCGUAGGCGGUUUGUCGCGUCGGGAGUGAAAUCCACUGGCUUAACUGGUGGCUUGCUUUCGAUACGGGCAGACUGGAGGUAUGCAGGGGAGAACGGAAUUCCUGGUGUAGCGGUGAAAUGCGCAGAUAUCAGGAGGAACACCGGUGGCGAAGACGGUUCUCUGGGCAUGUCCUGACGCUGAGGAGCGAAAGUGUGGGGAGCGAACAGG